UACGUAGGGGGCGAGCGUUGUCCGGAAUCAUUGGGCGUAAAGCGCGUGUAGGCGGCUCGGUAAGUCCGCUCUGAAAGUCGGGGGCUCAACCCUCGGAUGCGGGUGGAUACUGUCGAGCUUGAGUGCGGAAGAGGCGAGUGGAAUUCCUGGUGUAGCGGUGAAAUGCGCAGAUAUCAGGAGGAACACCAAUUGCGAAGGCAGCUCGCUGGGACGUUACUGACGCUGAGACGCGAAAGCGUGGGGGAGCAAACAGG
rnacentral:rRNA from 1 species